rnacentral:rRNA from 1 species
GACGUAGGGCGCGAGCGUUGUCCGGAUUUAUUGGGCGUAAAGAGCUCGUAGGCGGCUGCUCAAGUCGAAUGUGAAAACUCGAGGCUCAACCUCGAGCCUGCAUUCGAUACUGGGCGGCUAGAGUCUGGUAGGGGGAUCUGGAAUUCCUGGUGUAGCGGUGGAAUGCGCAGAUAUCAGGAGGAACACCGGUGGCGAAGGCGGGUCUCUGGGCCGAUACUGACGCUGAGGAGCGAAAGCGUGGGGAGCAAACGGG